rnacentral:rRNA from 1 species
UCGCCUGUUUAUCAAAAACAUCGCCUCUUGCAAAUCAAAGCAUAAGAGGUCCCGCCUGCCCUGUGACUAUGGGUUUAACGGCCGCGGUAUUUUGACCGUGCGAAGGUAGCGCAAUCACUUGUCUUUUAAAUGAAGACCUGUAUGAAUGGCAUCACGAGGGCUUAGCUGUCUCCUCUCCCAAGUCAAUGAAAUUGAUCUGCCCGUGCAGAAGCGGACAUAAGUACAUAAGACGAGAAGACCCUAUGGAGCUUUAGACACCAGGCAGAUCACGUCAAGUAAACUUAAAUUAACAAGUAGAAACGCAGUGACCCCUAGCCCAUAUGUCUUUGGUUGGGGCGACCGCGGGGGAAAAUAAAGCCCCCAUGUGGACUGGGGGCACUGCCCCCACAACCGAGAGCUACAGCUCUAAGCACCAGAAUUUCUGACCAAAAAUGAUCCGGCGAACGCCGAUCAACGGACCGAGUUACCCUAGGGAUAACAGCGCAAUCCUCUCCCAGAGUCCCUAUCGACGAGGGGGUUUACGACCUCGAUGUUGGAUCAGGACAUCCUAAUGGUGCAGCCGCUAUUAAGGGUUCGUUUGUUCAACGAUUAAAGUCCUACGUGAUCUGAGUUCAGACCGGA